AGACAGUUCCGUGGAUGAUGAGCGUGAAGUCCCAGCUUUGCGCAAUACGGGCUUACCGAGCAUUUUGCUCCCAUCAUGAACGCCUUGCCACAACCGCAGCAAAACUCGUACUUGCAUUGACUGCACGUGAAAUGCAUACAACCUAAAAAAAAAAAAAAUUCAUUAUGGUUCGAAUAAAUUGGAUGUUGAGUGUUCGUUCGAACAACUUACCUCCUCUAGACAAGGAGUAACGAAAUUUGCAUUUAGGACAAUCUAUCCCAUUAUCCGCGAGGUGCUUGGCUAAGCCAGCGGCUUGAUUAUCCGGGUCAUUCUCGUCUUUCCAAGCAGCAAAUUGCUCGCACGUAAUUCCUUCGUGCUGUUUCUCCCACUGAAAACGAACCAACGUCAGAAAAGAUAUUUGUUCGUCCUUAUGUAAUUUCCAUUUAAUUUUCUUCUAAUUGUUAACGUUAUCACGUACUGGCCUUCGACAUUGGGCACACGUGACUGAUCGACAGUCGGGGCAUAUUAAUCUCUUUUGAUCUGGAUCUGCAUAAAAUCCGCUUGAACACUAAAAACGACACAUAUAUUAUAUCCUUUGCAAUAAUCGGAUAAAGAAGAUUGCGACAAUCUGUAUGUAAAUAAACACCUGAAUGCACCACUUAAAAUUCGGAUCUUGCAUUAAUGUUCUAUCUCUCAGCUUUCUUUGAAAAAGUUCGUGAAUCGGAGGAUCUAGAAGUGUCUUCAACUGUAUGUCCAGGUUACUGAAAUAUU